GAUGAACGCUGGCGGCGUGCCUAAUACAUGCAAGUCGAGCGAACAGACGAGGAGCUUGCUCCUCUGACGUUAGCGGCGGACGGGUGAGUAACACGUGGAUAACCUACCUAUAAGACUGGGAUAACUUCGGGAAACCGGCGCUAAUACCGGAUGAUAUCUUGCACCGCAUGGUUCAAUAGUGAAAGACGGUUUUGCUGUCACUUCUAGAUGGAUCCGCGCCGCAUUAGCUAGUUGGUAAGGUAACGGCUUACCAAGGCAACGAUGCGUAGCCGACCUGAGAGGGUGAUCGGCCACACUGGAACUGAGACGCGGUCCAGACUCCUAAGGGAGGCAGCAGUAGGGAAUCUGCCGCAAUGGGCGAAAGCCUGACGGAGCAACGCCGCGUGAGUGAUGAAGGUCUUCGGAUCGUAAAACUCUGUUAUUAGGGAAGAACAAAUGUGGAAGUAACUAUGCACGGAGUGACGGUACCUAGUCAGAAAGCAACGGCUAACUACGUG
rnacentral:rRNA from 1 species